AUUGAACGCUGGCGGAAUGCUUUACACAUGCAAGUCGAACGGCAGCACGGACUUCGGUCUGGUGGCGAGUGGCGAACGGGUGAGUAAUGUAUCGGAACGUGCCCAGUCGUGGGGGAUAACGUAGUGAAAAUUACGCUAAUACCGCAUACGAUCUAUGGAUGAAAGCGGGGGAUCGCAAGACCUCGCGCGAUUGGAGCGGCCGAUAUCAGAUUAGGUAGUUGGUGGGGUAAAGGCCCACCAAGACAACGAUCUGUAGCUGGUCUGAGAGGACGAGCAGCCACACUGGAACUGAGACACGGUCCAGACUCCUACGGGAGGCAGCAGUGGGGAAUUUUGGACAAUGGGCGAAAGCCUGAUCCAGCCAUUCCGCGUGCAGGAUGAAGGCCCUCGGGUUGUAAACUGCUUUUGUACAGAACGAAAAGGUUUCUACUAAUACUAGGAGCUCAUGACGGUACUGUAAGAAUAAGCACCGGCUAACUACGUGCCAGCCGCCGCGGUAA
rnacentral:rRNA from 1 species